UACGAAGGGGGCUAGCGUUGCUCGGAAUUACUGGGCGUAAAGAGCGCGUAGGCGGCCCUGUAAGUCCGCUGUGAAAGUCAAGGGCUCAACCCUUGGAUGCCGGUGGAUACUGCAGGGCUAGAGUCCGGAAGAGGCGAGUGGAAUUCCUGGUGUAGCGGUGAAAUGCGCAGAUAUCAGGAGGAACACCGAUGGCGAAGGCAGCUCGCUGGGACGGCACUGACGCUGAGGCGCGACAGCGUGGGGAGCAAACAGG
rnacentral:rRNA from 1 species